rnacentral:rRNA from 1 species
GACGAACGCUGGCGGCGUGCCUAAUACAUGCAAGUAGAACGCACAGUUUAUACCGUAGCUUGCUACACCAUAAACUGUGAGUUGCGAACGGGUGAGUAACGCGUAGGUAACCUGCCUGGUAGCGGGGGAUAACUAUUGGAAACGAUAGCUAAUACCGCAUAAUAUUGAUUAUUGCAUGAUAAUUGAUUGAAAGAUGCUAUUGCAUCACUACCAGAUGGACCUGCGUUGUAUUAGCUAGUAGGUGAGGUAACGGCUCACCUAGGCGACGAUACAUAGCCGACCUGAGAGGGUGAUCGGCCACACUGGGACUGAGACACGGCCCAGACUCCUACGGGAGGCAGCAGUAGGGAAUCUUCGGCAAGGGACGAAAGUCUGACCGAGCAACGCCGCGUGAGUGAAGAAGGGUUUCGGAUCGUAAAGCUCUGUUGUAAGAGAAGAACGGGUGUGAGAGUGGAAAGUUCACACUGUGACGGUAUCUUACCAGAAAGGGACGGCUAACUACGUG